rnacentral:lncRNA from 1 species
AUAACUCGUGACAUACUUUGUAUGAUAAUUUUAUGUCAUGUUUGCGGUUAAAUCAAUAAAAAAAACUGUGUUAUGUCAUUCUCCUACUACUAUGCUUGGAAAGUCGAGACCUAUCCUAAAAAUUUUCUCUAUAUAGUAACUUGUCUAGAUCUUUCUGUCUAUUUAUUUUGUUGUCAACCAUUUCUAGUUGGUACAGGAUAAUAUGCUGUUCAAAAAGUUUAAGAACCCAUUAUCUUUCUGUUGGUUUCCAAAUUAGGUUUUGAAAACUAAAUAAACAUUAAACUUUAAGGUAUUUGACAUGCACAUCCUUGACCUUAUUCUAUGAAGUGUCUGAUAUUGUGGGUAGCUAAUAGUCUGGUUGCAUUUGGUUCUGGACAAGUGACAGUGGAGGGCGCUUUGAAGCUGUAUGUUAAUGUGCCUAAGUGUGUGUUCUUACAUCCAUGGAAUUUCAAGAAGUAGGUGCUACAUGUUCUUUAAGAAUCCCCCCCAACCCCACCCCUUGUCACUACCUCUCUGUGUCCCACACACACAGAAUCUUCUCCUCUAUGAAGGCAUUAUCAUUUUUAACUUUUGCAAAUCAACUCUGAAUCCUAAUAAUUCCUGCACUUUCUCUUAUGCCUCUGUACCAUUACUUUUUUCUUUUUUUGCUAACCUUUCCACUUCUUGGUUCUAGCCAUAUUUUUGCAGAACUUCUUACUCUGUUUUGUAUCAAGUGUUAUAUGCUAUUUGUUUUGCAGUCUGUGGAUAAAUAACUAGUCAUGAUGUGAUCCCAAAGACUUAUAUUUUAGAAACUUAUAAAGUUAUAUGCAUACAGUGAUCCAUAAGAUCCAGUGUUUAAGAUGCAUUCUUACCUUUUUCCUUUUUGGCUGGCUGCUAAGUAGGGAGAUGAACAACAAACUGUUGAAGGCUUGCUACAUUCACUGGGGUUGGGAAAAUAUGUCAUCCUUUUCAAGGCAGAGGAAGUAAGUAAUAGAGUUCUUUAGUUAAAUUCUCCCUGAGUAAGGAUUAAUUUUUUUCUGAAAUAAAAAAAGUGUUCAUGAGAUGCAGGGGAAGAAUAGUCAGUGAAGAAAGAAGAUGAAUUACAUUAAUAUGUUAUUCUUAAUAAUAGUUUGUCGCUUGCUCUUUGUUUUUUUGUGUUACUUCAGUUCGUUUAAAUAGGCCCGGGCUACAAGCUGUGUGUUUCAGAAGUUUGGCACUAUUGGUGCAAUGCAAGAUCUUAGAAAUCUUUUUUCAGCUUCACCUAAUGCAGAUAGUUGUUGAAUUUUCUGAUUGGAAAAAAAUAUUAUAGCAUCAAUAGUGAUUUAAUUAAAUACAUCACUUUCAGGUUAGGUUGUCUAGCUUGGUUCUGGCCCGUUUGUGGUUAAUGUAAAGAUAUUUUUGCACAUAUAUGUGUAAGUGGUAAUAAACAUACUACUUUUGCAGAAGUGAAGAUUAAAAUGUAUGUCUGAUGUCCCUAAAUUGGAACCCCAGUGAUUAGAUCUAGAGAUAUUCAACAUUGAAUUCAUAUAUUUGAACCUUAAAAUUGGGUGGGGAGGGGGGGGUUGGAGUUUAUGGGAUGAAAAAGGGAUACCUCAUGUUUUGUAUCCUUAAGCUCAAUAAAUUUCCUCUUGUAAUAAAUAAUAUUUUAAAAAAAAGACAUGGAUGUUUCAUGAAGAAAGACAACACUUGGUCUCUCCCAUGCCAAAUUGGCGCCCAUCUCCCUGGAAUGGCAAAAAGGGAUGGGGCUAUUUUUUUUUUUUUUGAAAAGCAAUUUUAUUAGCCUUUCAACCGGCAUGCCAUUUGAUGUUCAGUAAUAGAAAGAUAACGAAUGUUUUUAUGCAGGUAUUGUGUUUGUUGUUGUAGGAAAUUUUUAUUCAGGAUAAUUAAAUAGGGAAUAUUACCACUAAUAUUUUCUUGUAGCUCUAAUAGUUUCCAAUUGAUGCUUGGCUUGUGUUACAAAGCCGCAGGCAUGUCCACUAUCUUUUGUGAUUUUAUUUAAAAUAAAAUAUUGACUUGAAAAAUGUUGGAUAUGGUCAUUUUGCCUAAAAUGACUGACAUUAGCGUGUUUCAAAUGGUUGCAAAUACUGGUAAUGUUGUUAAAAAAGUAUAAUUUCCUAGAUGGAGGUGGUUGCUUUAGCUGUUCUAUCAGACAAAUCUUGAAGAUUUACUUUACUCUGUAUUUACGUUGUUGAAAUCCCAUGGAUUUAUAUUAUGAUGUUCAUUGGAGAAUUGCUUGUUGGUUUGUUUUAUCCGCACUCUCCUUGUUUGGCUGAUCUGGAGAUUUGAUCUUUUACUCAGGUGGAUAUGACUGCAUUGAAACAGAUGGGGGAAAAUGACCUGAAAGAGCUAGGAAUACCUAUGGUAUUGUACCCUUUUUUUUGUAUUUGUAUUGUUUAUUGUCAAAAUUUUCUGUUCUAAUUUUCAUGAUUGAUGCGUCCAAACUAAUAACUGCUGCUUAACUCAGAUCUGAUGAGUUAGAUUCUCAAAGUUGAAUUUUUCAAGCAUGUCUAUAUAGUUCUCAUAUUUUCUUAAUUAGAUGUCAUCAGUUCUGAAAACAUUUUUGUUAAAGUAAUCUUUAUUCUGUGCAUGUAACUGGGACUGAUUUGAGUGCCUAAGUACAAUAUGCUUUAUCUGUGUCUGUGGGCCUCUAUUUCUUUUACAUGGAAUUUGGGUUACCUGUUGCCUAAGCCAAAUUCACUCUAACUCAAGGCUCUCAUGUAGUUCUGUGCCUCUGUUCAUUAACUGUUCUGGAUAAUUGGUGGCUUGAGAAUAUAAAGCUUGCUAUGAAGUUGAUUAGAUGGAUUAUAGUUGAUAAGUUUCAGUAAGCACUAUGUACUAGGAAAUCAUGGAUUUUCCUUGCUGCUAAGUUCUAGUUAAAGUUACGGCUUACUGCUGAGUAACCUGCCAACUAAUUGUUUGACUUUGGAGGGACUGCAGUAUCCAGCUGCUAAUCAAGGUGCGGAUGACAACAUUUGCAGUAUGCCUCUUGCUCACAUUGAAUUUUAUGGGAUUUGAAGUAGUAAAAUGGGCUGUGAUCAGAGUGUUUUCUAGAAUCAAAUCCUGCCAAUAAAAAACAAAUCUAUGAUCAUGAUCAUUAUUCAUUUGAAUGUAGUUUGGUAACGGUUCACUCUCUCUCUGUCUCUGAGUGUGUGCAAAAUGUUAUCUUAAGGUAUAGCUGUUGUAAUUUACAUAACAUGCCAAGUUGUCCC